AUCCAGCUGACGAGUCUCAAAUUGGACUGAACGCGCGUCCUGAAU
rfam:Schistosoma mansoni strain Puerto Rico chromosome 4, complete genome